UACGUAGGGGGGCAAGCGUUGUCCGGAAUUAUUGGGCGUAAAGAGCUCGUAGGCGGUUGGGUAAGUCGGGUGUGAAAACUCCAGGCUCAACUUGGAGACGCCACCCGAUACUGCUCUGACUUGAGUUCGGUAGGGGAGUGGGGAAUUCCUGGUGUAGCGGUGAAAUGCGCAGAUAUCAGGAGGAACACCGGUGGCGAAGGCGCCACUCUGGGCCGAAACUGACGCUGAGGAGCGAAAGCGUGGGUAGCAAACAGG
rnacentral:rRNA from 1 species